rnacentral:rRNA from 1 species
GGUCUGUUAAGCGUCUUGUGAAAUCCCUCGGACUCAACCGAGAAUUGCUUGCGCGAACUGGUCGGGCUUGAGGCAGGUAGAGGCGCGCGGAACUCUUGGUGGAGCGGUGAAAUGCGUAGAUAUCAAGGGGAACGCCAGCGGCGAAAGCGGCGCGCUGGGCCUGAACUGACGCUGAGGUGCGAAAGCUAGGGGAGCGAACGGGAUUAGAUACCCCGGGUAGUCCUAGCCGUAAACGAUGUCCACUAGGUUGGAGGUUCUUUGACGGAUUCCCAACCGUAGCGAAAGCGUUAAGUGGACCGCCUGGGGAGUACGGUCGCAAGGCUAAAACUCAAAGGAAUUGACGGGGGCUCACACAAGCGGUGGAGCAUGUUGCUCAAUUCGAUGCAACGCGAAGAACCUUAUCCUGGGAUUGAAAAGCACGGAUACGUCCUCUGAAAGGAGUACCGUUGCCCUUCGGGGUGAAACGUGUACAGGUGCUGCAUGGCUGUCGUCAGCUCGUGUCGUGAGAUGUUGGGUUAAGUCCCGUAACGAGCGAAACCCUUGUCGUUAGUUGCCAGCGCUUAUGGCGGGGACUCUAGCGAGACUGCCGGUGUUAACCCGGAGGAAGGUGGGGAUGACGUCAAUCCUCAUGGCUUU